CAGAGGGGGCGAGCGUUAUUCGGAAUUAUUGGGCGUAAAGGGCGCGUAGGCGGCUUUGCAAGUGGCGGGUGAAAUCCCUCGGCUUAACCGAGGAACUGCCUGCCAGACUGUGAGGCUUGAGACCGGGAGAGGUGAGUGGAAUUCCCAGUGUAGCGGUGAAAUGCGUAGAUAUUGGGAGGAACACCAGUGGCGAAGGCGGCUCACUGGACCGGAACUGACGCUGAGGCGCGAAAGCGUGGGGAGCAAACAGGAUUAGAUACCCUGGUAGUCCACGCCGUAAACGAUGAGUGCUUGGUGUAGCGGGUAUCGACCCCUGCUGUGCCGAAGUCAACACAUUAAGCACUCCGCCUGGGGAGUACGGCCGCAAGACUG
rnacentral:rRNA from 1 species